ACACUUUGCUAUACAGUAAAAUUGAUGCCCAUGUCUGAACAAGCCCAUUAUAGUUCAUCACAGGUGAGUGACCCGGUAGGUUUUUGUCACACUUACCGGCCCCUCUAUAUAAGGGCCAGAGCUGCCAGCUCAGCUCACAAGAUGAGGACAUCCCACCAGACAGGUUGGCUGUCUCCUACGGAGCUGGUGCUCCAGCUGCGGAGAUCUUGAAAGCCAUAAUCUUCUCCGGAAAUGGCAAGGUACAGACGCAGCAGGAGCAGAAGCAGGAGCCGUCGCAGAAGGCGACGAAGGGGAGGCUGCGGAGGUCGACAUGGAAGGAGAAGACGAUGACAUGGCAGAAGGAGGAGAGGUCGUAGAGGUAGUGAGCAAACUCACAGGAGGAGGAGGAGGAGGAGAAGGAGGAGUUUUUAAUUUCCUGAUUUCUCCCAUUCUCCUGUGCAAGUCAUCGACCCUCCACACUGCAACAUCUGCUAUGGCAAAAAGAAACAUUCCUUCAGUGACAAUACCCCGCGAUGACAUCCCAAGAUGGAAGGAGCCUGCUACCAGUUGAACAAUACCACCUGUCAAUAAACUUUGAAAUUUCA